AUUGAACGCUGGCGGCAUGCCUUACACAUGCAAGUCGAACGGCAGCACGGGAGCAAUCCUGGUGGCGAGUGGCGAACGGGUGAGUAAUACAUCGGAACGUGCCCAAUCGUGGGGGAUAACGCAGCGAAAGCUGUGCUAAUACCGCAUACGAUCUACGGAUGAAAGCAGGGGAUCGCAAGACCUUGCGCGAAUGGAGCGGCCGAUGGCAGAUUAGGUAGUUGGUGAGGUAAAGGCUCACCAAGCCGUCGAUCUGUAGCUGGUCUGAGAGGACGACCAGCCACACUGGGACUGAGACACGGCCCAGACUCCUACGGGAGGCAGCAGUGGGGAAUUUUGGACAAUGGGCGAAAGCCUGAUCCAGCCAUGCCGCGUGCAGGAUGAAGGCCUUCGGGUUGUAAACUGCUUUUGUACGGAACGAAACGGCCUUUUCUAAUAAAGAGGGCUAAUGACGGUACCGUAAGAAUAAGCACCGGCUAACUACGUGCCAGCAGCCGCGGUAAUACGUAGGGUGCAAGCGUUAAUCGGAAUUACUGGGCGUAAAGCGUGCGCAGGCGGUUAUGUAAGACAGUUGUGAAAUCCCCGGGCUCAACCUGGGAACUGCAUCUGUGACUGCAUAGCUAGAGUACGGUAGAGGGGGAUGGAAUUCCGCGUGUAGCAGUGAAAUGCGUAGAUAUGCGGAGGAACACCGAUGGCGAGGGCAAUCCCCUGGACCUGUACUGACGCUCAUGCACGAAAGCGUGGGGAGCAAACAGG
rnacentral:rRNA from 1 species